CCUACGGGAGGCAGCAGUGAGGAAUAUUGGUCAAUGGACGAGAGUCUGAACCAGCCAAGUAGCGUGAAGGAUGACUGCCCUAUGGGUUGUAAACUUCUUUUAUAUGGGAAUAAAACGUUCCACGUGUGGGAUUUUGUAUGUACCAUAUGAAUAAGGAUCGGCUAACUCCGUGCCAGCAGCCGCGGUAAUACGGAGGAUCCGAGCGUUAUCCGGAUUUAUUGGGUUUAAAGGGAGCGUAGGUGGAUUGUUAAGUCAGUUGUGAAAGUUUGCGGCUCAACCGUAAAAUUGCAGUUGAUACUGGCAGUCUUGAGUACAGUAGAGGUGGGCGGAAUUCGUGGUGUAGCGGUGAAAUGCUUAGAUAUCACGAAGAACUCCGAUUGCGAAGGCAGUUCACUGGACUGCAACUGACACUGAGGCUCGAAAGUGUGGGUAUCAAACAGGAUUAGAUACCCUAGUAGUC
rnacentral:rRNA from 1 species